rnacentral:lncRNA from 1 species
CCAGCUACGCCGCUACCUUCAGCCCUUUUUUUCUUCCCUUUUUUUAAUCACUGAGGGAAAAUAUACACAUAAGAAAAAAAACAAAAAGGCUCCCUGGCAGGCGCGAGCGGGGGUGGUGAGGAGGCCGGCGAAGGCAGUAAUGCAACCCUAAUGCACAGAUAGCUGACAUCAACUUCCGUCAGGCAGCUCCUGGAGAUCGAACCUUUCGAUUGUAACUGGGACAAUUUGCAUAGUGAUUCCCUUUCAGAGCUUUCCCGGGUCCAUAACAAGCCCAGGCAGCUAUUCAAAUCUGGGAGCUGUUUAUUUAUGGCUGCAAAUGUGUGUGUGCAAGAGAGAGGGAGAAUUGAUCUUUGCCUGGACUUAAAGAUGGAGCCGAAGGCGCUGGAGGGAAUUUGGGUUUGUGCGUCUGGCUCAGACCCUGGGCGCCGAACGGGGCCGCUUGGCACGGAGCCCGAGGUCUUUCUUUGCCGCACCCCUCACCUCGAGACCUUGCAGGAAUCCGCGGGCCCAGGAGCGGCCUGACGGGCCCAUCUGCCCCGGGCCCGGCUGCCGAGAAAGGCUUCGUGGAGGGGGCCAUCCAGUCCCUGUCUUUAAAAUGAGCGCAAUAAAAGGGGGCAAAUCCUCAAACGCGAACCUGAUCGCUUGUCACAGAAGCAACUUGCCAUGAAAUCCGCUAAUGCGCCGCGACUCGCCCACCGGGAUCAGUAACCCCCGGCAUUGGUGUAACCAGCGCGCGCCCAAUGCAGUCGUAUUCCUCGAAUGCGCGCACCGCCCGCCACACUUGGAGAAUCCAGCCCACAGAGGUUUCGGAAACCCCAUUUUCCUGAUUGCAGCCCAGACUCUGGAACCCCGCAAGCCUUCCGGGGAAGCGAGCCCAAUCCAGACCAAGCAGACCUCUGGCGCUGCCGGGUUCGUACAACCACUAAAGCAGCGUCAUCUUGAGAGUUAUUUUGGGGAAAAAGACCUGGGACCUGGGUUUGAGUUAAAGACGUUAGAGGCAAGGGACAGAUGGCCCAGCAUUUCUUUGGAACGAGGCAGAACUGAGAACUACCCAGCUGGACCAGCAUUGCCGAAAACUGGAGAUUAGGAAAUGUAUUCUCCUCGCACACACAGUAGCACACAUCUCCUCCGACGGCGAGUUCACCCCUACGCCAGGGGCCUCUGGCUCCGCCGCUGCGUUUCCCAGACGCCCUUUCGGCCUUCUCCAGGUUUUGCCAGGCAAAUGAAACGAGCAGAACUCGAUGGUAAAUUAUUUUGUUCAGCCUUCCGUCUUUUUAUAAAAAUAAAAGGCAACACUUUGUCAUUUUUAAUCAUAUAAGCAGACAAUAAACCUAAUUUUGAUAUUGAUUUUUUUU